rnacentral:rRNA from 1 species
CCUACGGGUGGCAGCAGUCGAGAAUCAUUCACAAUGGGGGAAACCCUGAUGGUGCGACGCCGCGUGGGGGAAUGAAGGUCUUCGGAUUGUAAACCCCUGUCAUGUGGGAGCAAAUUAAAAAGAUAGUACCACAAGAGGAAGAGACGGCUAACUCUGUGCCAGCAGCCGCGGUAAUACAGAGGUCUCAAGCGUUGUUCGGAAUCACUGGGCGUAAAGCGUGCGUAGGCUGUUUCGUAAGUCGUGUGUGAAAGGCGCGGGCUCAACCCGCGGACGGCACAUGAUACUGCGAGACUAGAGUAAGGGAGGGGGAACCGGAAUUCUCGGUGUAGCAGUGAAAUGCGUAGAUAUCGAGAGGAACACUCGGGGCGAAGGCGGGUUCCUGGACAUUAACUGACGCUGAGGCACGAAGGCCAGGGGAGCGAAAGGGAUUAGAUACCCCGGUAGUC